UGCAAGUCGAACGCUUCUUUUUCCACCGGAGCUUGCUCCACCGGAAAAAGAGGAGUGCCGAACGGGUGAGUAACACGUGGGUAACCUGCCCAUCAGAAGGGGAUAACACUUGGAAACAGGUGCUAAUACCGUAUAACAAUCAAAACCGCAUGGUUUUGAUUUGAAAGGCGCUUUCGGGUGUCGCUGAUGGAUGGACCCGCGGUGCAUUAGCUAGUUGGUGAGGUAACGGCUCACCAAGGCCACGAUGCAUAGCCGACCUGAGAGGGUGAUCGGCCACAUUGGGACUGAGACACGGCCCAAACUCCUACGGGAGGCAGCAGUAGGGAAUCUUCGGCAAUGGACGAAAGUCUGACCGAGCAACGCCGCGUGAGUGAAGAAGGUUUUCGGAUCGUAAAACUCUGUUGUUAGAGAAGAACAAGGAUGAGAGUAACUGUUCAUCCCUUGACGGUAUCUAACCAGAAAGCCACGGCUAACUACGUGCCAGCAGCCGCGGUAAUACGUAGGUGGCAAGCGUUGUCCGGAUUUAUUGGGCGUAAAGCGAGCGCAGGCGGUUUCUUAAGUCUGAUGUGAAAGCCCCCGGCUCAACCGGGGAGGGUCAUUGGAAACUGGGAGACUUGAGUGCAGAAGAGGAGAGUGGAAUUCCAUGUGUAGCGGUGAAAUGCGUAGAUAUAUGGAGGAACACCAGUGGCGAAGGCGGCUCUCUGGUCUGUAACUGACGCUGAGGCUCGAAAGCGUGGGGAGCAAACAGGAUUAGAUACCCUGGUAGUCCACGCCGUAAACGAUGAGUGCUAAGUGUUGGAGGGUUUCCGCCCUUCAGUGCUGCARCUAACGCAUUAAGCACUCCGCCUGGGGAGUACGACCGCAAGGUUGAAACUCAAAGGAAUUGACGGGGGCCCGCACAAGCGGUGGAGCAUGUGGUUUAAUUC
rnacentral:rRNA from 1 species